rnacentral:rRNA from 1 species
UACGUAGGGGGCAAGCGUUGUCCGGAAUCAUUGGGCGUAAAGCGCGUGUAGGCGGCUCGGUAAGUCCGCUCUGAAAGUCCAGGGCUCAACCCUGGGAUGCGGGUGGAUACUGCCGGGCUCGAGUCCGGAAGAGGCGAGUGGAAUUCCAGGUGUAGCGGUGAAAUGCGUAGAUAUCUGGAGGAACACCGGUGGCGAAGGCGGCAUCCUGGACCAACACUGACACUGAGGAGCGAAAGCCAGGGGAGCAAACGGG